GGGCCUAUAGCUCAGCUGGUUAGAGCGCACGCCUGAUAAGCGUGAGGUCGAUGGUUCGAGUCCAUUUAGACCCACCA
rnacentral:tRNA from 20 species